AAUUGUCCAAUUUAAAUGCAAUAUUCUGCUCAGAAUUCACUUUCAGGAUAUCUGGGUAGGCCUAAUAUACUGUCUAUGGAGAUUUGUUUUGACCAGCUCAUGAAAUCGAUGCUAGACGCUCACUCGGCCGUUCGCUCACAUUCCCGGAUCUAAACUGGGUUGUAUUCAUUAAGAACCAAACGGAAAGAAACGAUCAGGGACUAACCUGAGAAACGCUCGUUGUCGUUGCAAAACGUUGUGCUACGCUAUGCACUUAUGAAGUCAACCCUGGCAGGUACUGUUUUACUCUCUCAUCCCCUUCUCUCUUCACCUCGCUAAUCUACUCACCUCCCUCUCUCCUUUAUUCUCUGUUUGCAUUCGUUUUUAAAACCAAAGCGCCCAGUUUUAGUGAUAUGCUGCAACAACACCACGUUUAGUAGCCAAACGUCGAUGACAUGAGUAGCUUAGAGCCGACGCUAUUCGAUGGUAUCUCUAUCUGAACGUUCCAAAACGUUCCAUGUGGCUGAACUCGCCCAAAUAAUGAUUUAUACGCGGAAGUAUAAGUGAAAGUAAAACAUUUUGUUAAAGUUACACGAGCUCACUGAAAUAAGAGGCGAGAAAGAUUUUGGGGUCAAGCGCAAGGUUCUUCACAAGGAGGAAGUCAGUAAAAUUCAGGCAGAAGGUGACCGUUUUGACCAAACCAGAAAAGUACUGGACUGGGUCACGGCCAAAGGAGAAGCUGCAUGCUACGAGUUACUGACGAUUCUAGACAUCACAAGGAAGAGGACCUUAGACAACGCUGACUUACAGCAAUGGAUAAGCUGCUUCCCCUUCAAGGAAGACCCAGAGAUGACAGACUACCUUGUUGGUUCAAAACCCUGUCACAGAUAUCAGUCACAGCUGAAAUGUAAAGCUCGAAAGAUCACACAGGAUACAUGGAAACAAAGCUGUAGUCUCCUACCAGAGAGGUGUAGAAAUGAGGUGACUUUCUCUUACACUCCUCUUGUGUUAGAUACAGACGUGCCUUCAUCUCUCUCUAAAAUCAAAAUGAAGAGCAAAAGAUGCAAGAAAGCUCGCCCUAAAAAGCUAAAGAGCUUCAUCCCCAUGGCCAAACAGGAAACGUCCCCGGCUGACCUGCUUAAAACACCCAAGAGAAGGAUCCUCUUAUUUGGAAAACCUGGAAUUGGAAAGACAGCAGUCGCCCAUCAAAUGUUGAAGCUCUGGGCAGAGGAAGAUCAUAGAGAACUAGAUUACAUGUUUUAUUUUGAUGUGAGAGACAUUUCCCCCAGCACAAAUCCCAUGAGACUUGAGGACCUUCUCUUUAACAUGUACAGUGAGCCAGAAGAAAGUAGAGAAGAAGUGUUACAGGAUAUUAAGAAGAACUCUGAAAACGUUGUCAUCAUUUUUGAUGGAAUCACAGACCUCUCCUUUCAUUCAGUAAUAAAGAAACUUGUAGGCAAGGACCUCCUCCCUGAUGCAAAGAUUGUGAUCACAUGCAGACCAGAGGUUCCAUCAGGAGACUUCCUGACAGACUGGCCCUCGUUCCGAGUGGAGGUGAAAGGGUUUAGUAAUGAGUCCAUCCGGGCUUACUUAACAAAGAUGCUAAGUGCUGAGCCUAACCCUACGCCAAACCAUGACUCCUUGAGCAGUGUGUUAAGCAACCUAGAGUUGUUCAGUCUGUGCCAUGUCCCGAUGUAUGCAUUGAUGGUGGUUGCCUGCGUUUAUUAUUCUACCCCAGAGGCUUCUAAGCAGCCAUGCCCUACAACUAAGAUGUACGUCAACAUCCUCCGUUACUGCAUCCUAAAACACAGUGGCAAACAGAUGAAUGAUCUUGACAAGUGUCUCAUAGAAAACAGAGAAAAAAUCUUGUCUUUAGCAAAAAUUGCAAUGAAACAAUGAACUUGACAGAACUGAGCUGCGAAGUAAGCAGUGUCCAGUUUUCUUUCUUGGGGGCGCUUAUGAUUAUGGUCGAGCCCACAGUAUCGGACACUUACUCUGCAUUUCUCCAUUACACAAUGCAGGAGUUCGUUGGUGCCCUUUGGCUCUUACAGAAUCCAGACAAAAUCAGAGAGUUUCUACAGAAGUGCCAGACUGAAGAAUGGAAACACACAAAACACAUGGUUCCUUUCAUGUGUGGGCUUCUGAAUGAGAGGAAUAUUCGAUUGGUAAAUGGUCUUGUUCCAGCUCAACAGAUCAAGGAGACGUCAGAUUGGUUCUUCAAGGAAGUGGUGAACACAUUUCUUCCACUUCAAACAAACCAAGAUCAUGCAGAAGGUGGUGCUCCUGAGUUUGAGGUAGAUCUUCUGUUUUUAUGUCAGUGCUUGUAUGAAUCUCAGUCUACUGAGGCCUGUUUGCUUCUUCUGGACAAACUGGACUACAAUCUACACCUGGAUGAAGAACAUCUUGAUCCUCACCAGUGCUGUGCAGUCUCCUAUAUGAUCAGUCAGUCUGCAGAGAGAAAGGUUGACUUGGACCUGAACAGCUGCACUGUGUCAGACCAAGGACUAAGGCUGAUACUGGGCUCUCUGAAGAAUGUCCGAUAUCUCAGAUCUGACCCCUCAAUGCUGUGUCAACUCUGGACAACUUUGCUGAGCGGUGAGGCAGACAUUGACUUCACCAGCUUGCUUGGUCUCUGUGGAAAUGAGUUGCGCCUUCCAUUCCUGGGUGAAAGACGAGUGUUUGAGAGAGCAGAAGAAGUGAUGAAGCAGAGCCUGGAGAGGGUUAACCUCUGUCUACACUGGGAUCGGACAACUCUUCUCAGUGAAGCUCUCAGCAAGACCAUUUUAAAGUGUUUAACACAUAUCAACAAACUCAGUUUUAACCCACUACAUAAUCAGAGAGGAUCCCCUGAAAAACUAGAGAAAGAACAGAAAGCAGUCCUACUAAAUUUGUGUCUACAAGCCGCACUUUAUCACAGAGAAACGUUCCAGGGAGCUGUGAACACACUGCUGUCACUCUUCUCUGUGUAUCAAACUGAGAGAUAUGACAUCCUGCUGGAUCUGUACUCACAUGUGAAGGACUAUGAGACUCAAACAGGCAGGAGUGUCCUUCCAUCAUUGAGGCCACUUUAUCAGUCAGCUCCUGCAGUCUGGUCCAUAGACCUCUCAGAGAGAAAAGCCUCCCUCCUCCUAGAAGUGCUGAAACUCGAACCAGAUAAAAAAUCUGUCGAGCUGAAAGGCUGGUCAGACAAAGAGAGUGAAGUGAGGAGUUUCCUUCAGUGUCUGCCCUACAUCUCACAGCUGAGUUUUACUUCACCACAGGAUCAGAGAAGAUCCCCUGAAGAGUGGAGAAAGAGAGAGAAGACAUUCCUACUGAAUCUGUGUCUUCAAGCAGCCCUCCAUGCGAGAGAACACAUACAAACAACUGUAGAGAAAGUGUUUUCAUUGUCUGAAGUUUAUCAUGAUCGGAAAUGGGAUUUCCUGCUGGAUCUGUACUCACAUGUGAAGGACUAUGAGACUGAAACAGGCAGGAGUGUCCUUCCAGCAUUACAGCCAGUUUACCAGUCAGCUCCUGCAGUCUGGUCCAUAGACCUCUCAGAGAGAAAGGCCUCCCUCCUCCUAGAAGUGCUGAAACUCCAACCAGAGAAGAAACCAGUAGAGCUGGAAGGCUUGUCAGAUGAAGAGAGUGAAGUGAGGAGUUUCCUUCAGUGUCUGCCCUACAUCUCACAGCUGAGUUUCUAUCCAUGGUGGUCUGACAACUCAAAGCUGAUCAAGUUCCUGGUGGGUCUCCUGUCUCAAGCAGCAGAGUGGGAGGAGCAGUCAGGAGAGAAGACACUGAAGCUGCUAUCAUCAGUGUUUACUUACAGCACUUUCCCUCUCUAUGACUGGGAUGAUUAUCAUAAGUGGUUUCAAUGUGAUUUCCUGCUGGAUCUGUGCUCACAUGUGAAGGACUAUGAGACUCAAACAGGCAGAAGUGUCCUUCCAGUAUUACAGCCAGUUUACCAGUCAGCUCCUGCGGUCUGGUACAUAGACCUCUCAGAGAGAAAGGCCUCCCUCCUCCUAGACGUGCUGAAACUCCAACCAGAGAAGAAACCAGUAGAGCUGAUGAAGUGGUCAGAUGAAGAGAGUGAAGUGAGGAGUUUCCUUCAGUGUCUGCCCUACAUCUCACAGCUGAGUUUUACUUCACCACAGGAUCAGAGUAGAUCCCAUGAAGAGUGGAGAAAGAGAGAGAAGACAUUCCUACUGAAUCUGUGUCUUCAAGCAGCCCUCCAUGCGAGAGAACACAUACAAACAACUGUAGAGAAAGUGUUUUCAUUGUCUGAAGUUUAUCAUGAUCGGAAAUGGGAUCUCCUGCUGGAUCUGUACUCACAUGUGAAGGACUAUGAGACUCAAACAGGCAGGAAUGUCCUUCCAGCAUUACAGCCAGUUUACCAGUCAGCUCCUGCAGUCUGGUCCAUAGACCUCUCAGAGAGAAAGGCCUCCCUCCUCCUAGAAGUGCUGAAACUCCAACCAGAGAAGAAACCAGUAGAGCUGGAAGGCUUGUCAGAUGAAGAGAGUGAAGUGAGGAGUUUCCUUCAGUGUCUGCCCUACAUCUCACAGCUGAGUUUCUAUCCAUGGUGGUCUGACAACUCAAAGCUGAUCAAGUUCCUGGUGGGUCUCCUGUCUCAAGCAGCAGAGUGGGAGGAGCAGUCAGGAGAGAAGACACUGAAGCUGCUAUCAUCAGUGUUUACUUACAGCACUUUCCCUCUCUAUGACUGGGAUGAUUAUCAUAAGUGGUUUCAAUGUGAUUUCCUGCUGGAUCUGUGCUCACAUGUGAAGGACUAUGAGACUCAAACAGGCAGAAGUGUCCUUCCAGUAUUACAGCCAGUUUACCAGUCAGCUCCUGCGGUCUGGUACAUAGACCUCUCAGAGAGAAAGGCCUCCCUCCUCCUAGACGUGCUGAAACUCCAACCAGAGAAGAAACCAGUAGAGCUGAUGAAGUGGUCAGAUGAAGAGAGUGAAGUGAGGAGUUUCCUUCAGUGUCUGCCUUACAUCUCACAGCUGAGUUUUACUUCACCACAGGAUCAGAGUAGAUCCCAUGAAGAGUGGAGAAAGAGAGAGAAGACAUUCCUACUGAAUCUGUGUCUUCAAGCAGCCCUCCAUGAGAGAGGAACCAUACAAACAACUGUAGAGAAAGUGUUGUCACUGUCUGAAGUUUAUCACGAUCGGAAAUGGGAUCUCCUGCUGGAUCUGUACUCACAUGUGAAGGACUAUGAGACUGAAACAGGCAGGAGUGUCCUUCCAGCAUUACAGCCAGUUUACCAGUCAGCUCCUGCAGUCUGGUCCAUAGACCUCUCAGAGAGAAAGGCCUCCCUCCUCCUGGAAGUGCUGAAACUCCAACCAGAGAAGAAACCAGUAGAGCUGGAAGGCUUGUCAGAUGAAGAGAGUGAAGUGAGGAGUUUCCUUCAGUGUCUGCCUUACAUCUCACAGCUGAGGCUGAAUGUGGGCAUGGCAGUGAGACUGGCCAGACUGGCUAGGAGGACAGGGAGAGGGGGUACUCCACUGACUGUCCCAGAACUCUCCCUGGUCCUAAAGAGCAGCCAGCCACCAGAGAGAGUGUUAUCCAGAGCUCUGAGUAGUGUGGCGUCCCUGCUGAGAUUCUGGAGGGUUCAGUGUCUGGACCUGACUGACUUCUGCAUCCAGGGUCACUCUCUCAUCACACUGCUGUGUCACCAGGACCCUCACACUCUCAGACUGAACUCAGACACUCUGCAGCAGCUGGCUGUGGCUGUGUAUGAAGCUCAGGACAAGGACUUGACUCAGUGGUUCCUGGAGAAGGUUGGUGGAGACCUGACCUCCUGCAGGCUGGACUGGGACGUGCUUCUCUCUCUGCUGCAGCAUUCAACCCACAACAUCACAGUGGACCUCAGGAAGAACAGGCUUCUAGAGAAGAACAUCUCAGAUCUUCUCCCCUUUCUGGGAAGGGUUAUAUUCAAGAGGCUCAGUUCCAGCUUUGUGAAGUCCACCAUCAGACAGAUCUAUGACAGUAGAGACAGUGACUGUGUGUCCAGUUUGUUGAGGUCUUCAGACCAUUGGAUCAACCUGAACAGCAGAGAGCUGGACAGAGUGGACUGUACUGCUCUGUGUUUCACCCUGCAGCACAGCCACCAAGUCAAAGUCAACCUGCUGUGGACCUCCAUACCACCGGGGGAGAUAGAGAGCAUCCUGCCUCUUCUGGACAGAGUCUCCCAACUCAGUGUUGACAGGAAGCUGUUGCUGAGUUUCCUCCACUCCUGCGCUGCCUCUCAGAUCCUACAGGGGGCACUAUCACCACCACCAACAAUAACAACAACAGCAGCAGAGCUGCUCAGGGCUCUGCAGCACAGGUUGGACUUCUCCUGCUCCUCCUCUGUGGACCUGUCAGCUCACGACCAGGGGGAGGCGCUGUGUCUGACCACUGACCACUGUAGGGCCAUAAACUCUGUUCUGAAGCAGAGCCAACACAGCACACGGCUGGUUCAGAACCCGACCCGGAACCAGUCCCGAAACCAGCCCCAGGUGCAACUCAUCCUUAAAGACUGUGAGGUGGAGCAUGGAGCACUGAGAGAGCUGCUUCCCAUCUUGCAUAUUGUCAAGCUGAGCCCCAGCAAAGCUCUGCUACUUCAGCUGCUGGACCAUGUGUGUGAGGGGAUUGAAGAGGGGGUUCUGAAGCACGCAGAGUCCCUGUGCAGAGCCCUGGAUGGGGAGCUGGACCUCAGUAAGACCAGGCUGAACCAGAAGGCCUGUGGAUCUCUGGCCCUGGUUCUGGAACACUCAGAGGGGCUGUCAGAACUGUACCUCAACCACUGCCAACUCACAGACCACCACCUACAGCCCCUGCUCACACACCUGCACAAAGUUGAAGUCCUGGACCUGAGUCACAAUGACAUCACUGAUGCUCUGACCGACAGAAUACUCCAAUUGGUCUCUACCAACACUUCAAUACGCACCGUACGGCUCUUCAACAACAGAAUCAACGACAGAAGUCCGUUCCUGACAGACAAGAGGUUUGAGAUCUGGUGAAGCAGCAUCAGGUCCAAGUCCAGACAGAGGAAGAGAAGAUGGAUGUUGAAGAAGAGAAGAUGGAUGUUGAAGAAGAGAAGAUGGAUGUUGAAGAUGGGUGUAGUAGCUACGAAGCCUCGGCAGGGUGAGACUAGAGGGACUUUUCUGACCAGCAUCCCAUCAACCUUGACCCUAACUGUAACCUGAUUUUAACCAAUUCUUAAAUAUUGAUUUGCAUGUCAGCCACAUCCCCUUAGUUUUUAGCUGACCUCAUCAUGGUGUCAGACGAACGGCAAGUGAUUAUGGGGCUAAGGUAUUGUAAAAAUAGUUGAGACUCCAGAACUCUGGAAUGUUCUGAGUGUAAUGGAUAGGAAUGUGUAGUUCUAUUUACCUCUUACAUGGUUCUUAAACACACAGGAACAUGUGUAGUAUAACGUUUUUUGAGCUUUACUUAACUUGAUGAUUUUUGUGAUCAGUCAAUUUGUGAAAUUCCAUCAGAAGGAAUAGAUUGUAUAUGCAUUUCUAUAGUCUAGUAUUUAUCAGGUGGAUGGGAAUGUGUUCUACAGUUGCAAUGGGAGCCUUAAUACAUGAGUGUUUUGUUGCAGGUCAACUGCAUGGUAUUGUGUUACUCAGGCUAGCCUUGUUGUGGACCAAGCUUCCCUAUUCAGGAAGCCAGAGGUGUGUUGAGUUCGCUUGAACGUUUGCUACGUUGUGCAACGGUUUGUACUGAAUGACACGUUUCCCCAAAAUGUUUUUGAACAGACUUCGAGGUACAUUUGGUGGGUGUGGCGAGGUGUGGCUUGAAGCAAUGAGUGACAUAUUUUUAUUUUUAAAGGGCAGUGGCCAUGCUGACAGCAUUCUCCAACCCACAACCCAACCCUUCCCCAUUUUUCAACUGGUUGUUCAGUACAUCACCGUUUCCGUACAAUUGAACCGUUUCAGAAUGUAAAAACAUACUGAUCGCAGCCCUGGUGAAGUCCAUGGUAGAAAGUAACUACAAGUGUGGUGGAAACCAUUGAAGCCUCGCAACACGUCAAACCAAUCAAUUGCCUUGCUUUGGCCGAGCACUAAAGGUGCCCACUAGUGCCGUAGGAGCAACAGUGUGAGUGGAUGCCCAGGAAGUUGCUGAUGUAUAACAUAGCCUUUAUGUACACAUACCAUAACAAAAUGUAUUUAGUAGAGCAGUUGUAAUACCUUCAUCGACUUGUGAAGAACAUUACACGCAGCUUCCCUUUUAGGGGCAUGUGGGGGAGGUUUCUUGAAAUAUAACAUCCAAUCAAAAUGUAGCCGCUGGAACCUAGCAGACCAUUCUAACUGUUUUGGCUAAUACAAAAUUCUCCAGACCUCCAAAGGAGGCAUGACAACAAUGUGAUUUUGGAGGUAUGGCUACAUGAGACUAGUACAAGCCUUUCUCAUAUCAAAACAGACAAACUAUAAGAAAUAAUAUAUGAAUAUUUUGUGUUUUUAAUAAAUGUACCUUGAGGCCCAUGAUUGGUUUUUGACUGUGGUCUCUUCAGGUUGAAAUCAUUACUAGUAAAUCCUAAAUAAUCUGUUUCAAGUUAAUGCUGGUAUUAAAGCGAUCCCAUCCCACGUGUAUUUAUUUUCAUGAAAGUUUAAGUUGAGAGCUUAGCACUAUGGACCAGCAGAUGGGGUUGCUUCAGAGAGCCUUGACUGGGGUUAGAACCUACAGCCAUGCUUCAGAGAGCCUUGACUGUGGUUAGAACCUACAACCAUGCUUCAGAGAGCCUUGGCUGGGGUUAGAACCUACAACCAUGCUUCAGGGAGCCUUGACUGGGGUUGGAACCUACAACCAUGCUUCAGAGAGCCUUGACUGGGGUUGGAACAUACAACCAUGCUUCAGAGAGCCUUGACUGGGGUUGGAACAUACAACCAUGCUUCAGAGAGCCUUGACUGGAGUUGGAACAUACAGCCAUGCUUCAGAGAGCCUUGACUGGGGUUAGAACCUACAACCAUGCUUCAGAGAGCCUUG
rnacentral:lncRNA from 1 species